rnacentral:rRNA from 1 species
GAUGAACGCUGGCGGCGUGCUUAACACAUGCAAGUCGAACGGUGAAGCAGAGCUUGCUCUGUGGAUCAGUGGCGAACGGGUGAGUAACACGUGAGCAACCUGCCCUGGACUCUGGGAUAAGCGCUGGAAACGGCGUCUAAUACUGGAUACGAGACGUGGCCGCAUGGUCAACGUUUGGAAAGAUUUUUUGGUUCAGGAUGGGCUCGCGGCCUAUCAGCUUGUUGGUGAGGUAAUGGCUCACCAAGGCGUCGACGGGUAGCCGGCCUGAGAGGGUGACCGGCCACACUGGGACUGAGACACGGCCCAGACUCCUACGGGAGGCAGCAGUGGGGAAUAUUGCACAAUGGGCGAAAGCCUGAUGCAGCAACGCCGCGUGAGGGAUGACGGCCUUCGGGUUGUAAACCUCUUUUAGCAGGGAAGAAGCGAAAGUGACGGUACUUGCAGAAAAAGCGCCGGCUAACUACGUGCCAGCCGCCGCAGUAACAC